UGAGGAAUAUUGGUCAAUGGGCGGAAGCCUGAACCAGCCAAGUCGCGUGAGGGAAGACGGUCCUAUGGAUUGUAAACCUCUUUUGUCGGGGAGCAAGGAUCCGCACGAGUGCGGAGGCGAGAGUACCCGAAGAAAAAGCAUCGGCUAACUCCGUGCCAGCAGCCGCGGUAAUACGGAGGAUGCGAGCGUUAUCCGGAUUUAUUGGGUUUAAAGGGUGCGCAGGCGGAGGAUCAAGUCAGCGGUAAAAUAGCGGGGCUCAACCCCGUCGAGCCGUUGAAACUGGUUUCCUAGAGUGAGCGAGAAGUAUGCGGAAUGCGUGGUGUAGCGGUGAAAUGCAUAGAUAUCACGCAGAACUCCGAUUGCGAAGGCAGCAUACCGGCGCUCAACUGACGCUCAGGCACGAAAGCGUGGGUAUCGAACAGGAUUAGAUACC
rnacentral:rRNA from 1 species